CGCGAUCGAUCAGAGUUUGAUCCUGGCUCAGGAUGAACGCUGACAGAAUGCUUAACACAUGCAAGUCGAACGGACGGAGGUAACGGAACUCUUCGGAGGGAAGUGACCCGAGUUAGUGGCGGAUGGGUGAGUAACGCGUGGGUAACCUGCUUAUAUGGGGAAUAACAUUGAGAAAUCAUUGCUAAUACCGCAUAAUAUUCUCAUGUCGCAUGACAAGAGAAGGAAAGACGGCCUUUGAGCUGUCGCUAUGAGAUGGACCCGCGUCUGAUUAGUUAGUUGGUGAGGUAACGGCUCACCAAGACGAUGAUCAGUAGCCGGCCUGAGAGGGUGAACGGCCACAUUGGGACUGAGACACGGCCCAA
rnacentral:rRNA from 1 species